rnacentral:lncRNA from 1 species
UCCUGAUUCUUGACUAAAGGAGACAUUGAUAUAUGACAACAUUUUUUAUUAGUAAAAGCAGGAACAACCUGCUGUAAGAGGGAAUUGGGCUGCUGGGUUGGAAAUUGCUUCUGAUUGAUGCCCGCUAUAUGAGAAGCGUUAAGAAGGUUGCCCUACUGCUGCUGUACUUGUUGCAAUCUUUGCAAGUACUUCUCCCUUUGGUC